GUGCUAGCCUCAGCAGCAGAUACACUAAAGUUGGAACGAUACAGAGAAGAUUAGCAUGGCUCCUGCGCAAGGGUGACAUGCAAAUUCGUGAAGUGUUCCACGUCCGU